rnacentral:rRNA from 1 species
AGUGAACGCUGGCGGUAGGCCUAACACAUGCCAGUCGAACGGCAGCACAGUAAGAGCUUGCUCUUACGGGUGGCGAGUGGCGGACGGGUGAGGAAUACAUCGGAAUCUACUUUUUCGUGGGGGAUAACGUAGGGAAACUUACGCUAAUACCGCAUACGACCUACGGGUGAAAGCAGGGGAUCUUCGGACCUUGCGCGAUUGAAUGAGCCGAUGUCGGAUUAGCUAGUUGGCGGGGUAAAGGCCCACCAAGGCGACGAUCCGUAGCUGGUCUGAGAGGAUGAUCAGCCACACUGGAACUGAGACACGGUCCAGACUCCUACGGGAGGCAGCAGUGGGGAAUAUUGGACAAUGGGCGCAAGCCUGAUCCAGCCAUACCGCGUGGGUGGAGAAGGCCUUCGGGUUGUAAAGCCCUUUUGUUGGGAAAGAAAAGCAGCAGGUUAAUACCCCGCUGUUCUGACGGUACCCAAAGAAUAAGCACCGGCUAACUUCGUG